AUUAGCAAAAGUGGGAAUAUAGGCCACCAGAAUGCAGGUGUGUGCUCAAUUCACAUGAAACUAACAGGUUUUAAGAUUUUGUUUGAAGAGGAUCAGUUUUUAAUCCAGAGCAAUCAGAAAAAAUGACAUUCAGAAAAGUAAAUAUUUUCAUCCUAGUACUUGUUGUUGUCGUAUUUUUGCUAGUGCUACAUCACAACAUACUUGGGCUCAGUGAUCUCUUGAAAAGAGAAUUAUCAGGUAUGAUUCCUUUUCCUCUAGGAACUCUGUGUUAGAGUAAUGUUGUUUAUUUGAUAGGAAACAAAUCAGGAUAUUUAAUUACCUAUACAACUCUUUUCUUCCUGUAAGAAAUGCCUGUUUUGCAGGCUCCUUUGAUGCACCCUUACUCUAGUUUGAUUCCCUAUUUGACUGAAAAUCUUCACUUCACUAGACUUCACUAGA